UUCAAUCCUACACGUUAUUGUACUACAGUACAGUAGGUGGCGGUAUACUGUAGUAUGCUGUUCAUGUCCGCAUCGUCAUACGCGCCAGCACCCCUGAAAGACUGCAGGAACAGAAACCCCUGGAAAGAUGAGUUCCCUAUUAAAGAGAGGCUUGAUGCUGUUUACUCCACACUCUUAGGCUGAUUUUGGAUUAUUUGUCUGUGAAGACACAGUAGUUCAGUUUCUGAAUCCCAUCAAGAAUGAAGACCUGCAGGCCACCAUAUUGAGCUGUGAGUCAAAAUUUAUACUUUUAUAACCAUACCAGUAUAUGACAUUUCAGUGUAGUGCCAUUUAAGUUUCCCUGGCUAAAAUAGUUUAAUUUGGUAAUAUUUGUUAAUAAGAUUAUUAAUAAGUUAUAUUUGUAUAUUUGACUUGUAUAGCAGGUUAUAUAGUUAUAUUUGUUUGAACAAAUAAGUAUAUUGUUAAUAACAAGCUGAGAUGGUGGGUUUUCUGGCUAUGGUUUUACAGGAUGUAUAAGAAGGGGAAAGACAGAAUAGGUAGCUUGGUUAAUUUCGUUUACAUGCAUAGUUCAUGGGGAAUUUGUUCAGAGAAAGCAUUCAAACACAACCAAACAUCUUUACUGUCUCAUGAUUUUCUGUGUUCCAGGCAGGGUCUGAUGUCAUAAUAUGGCGCUUUUCCAAUGUAGGGUAAAACUUGGCUCGGCACAAUGCAGCUCAGCUCGCUUUCAUUGCUUUUCCAGUACAGUUUAGUAUCGCUUCAGAGUGGGUGAGAUUAUAGGCAGGGGUGCACAUAAGGGUGUGUAUGCGCGAUUAGAAACAAUCCCAGCGUACCAACGUUGCUGAAAUUUUGUUACAUAGUUAGCUAAUUUACUGCAACAUAAGGGAUUUCAUAACAUCUCGAUCACUCCCCAGUGACUGGUCCCAGUAUAGGUCAUAAACCCCGCCUCCCCCAUGUUAUUUAAUGGGACUUGAGAGACCAAGCUGUUUUUUGUAAUUUACUGUAGGUUUUAUCAUGCUGAUGUAAAUUCAAGUGUUUGUUUUUAAAAUAAGUUUGUUUUUAGUUAGUUAGUUAAUGCUAUAAAACGGUGUUGUCACGUCAUGAUUGACAGCUGUGUAUGCACAUUCUGGGAGAGUGAGGGCGGGGCCUUGAUUUCGCGGCUUUACAUCCUGCUCACUACUGUGCAGGAUUGGUCCCGAAAUUGCUACUGCGCAGACUCAAGACCCAAGAUGUCAGCGGCGACACUGGCGGCUUCAUUUUUUACCAAUGGAAGAGAGCAAGCUCUCCAGGUGCUCCUUUUAGAACCAGGACAAAAAAAGUUAUGUGCACCUCUGAUUAUAGGCUUAUUGUUACAGUUGCAUCCCCUCUACUGCCGUAACAUCAUCGUAAAUGUGAUACAAACACACACACAACAUGGAGCAACAUAACAUAUUAAUGGAAUGUAGCCACAAAAUCAAAAUUGACAGCCACAACUACAUUUUCCACUACCUCUCUCACAUGACAGGUUCUGUACAAACACCCGUGUCAUCAGUAUCAGCUCUCCGCGGACAGAACAUUUAAGCCAUGACGCCUAUAUUUUUGGUGCGUUUUGGAUGCGGAGCCAUGCGCAAAGUUACAAAAAUGCCAUGCAGACAUAGGCAUGGUGGUGUGCUCUGCAUUUUUGUAACUUUGCACAUGACUUCACAUCCGAAACCCCAUCCCAUUACUCCUCCCCCAAAAGUGAGCUGUGCUGAACUGGGUUAUACUAUGCAGUGGAAAAGCGCCAAAAGUGUCCUACUUCGUGGCUUGAAGGAUUUAGCAGUUUCAGCGUUGGACUUGUAAUUCUGCGUGUUUGGCUUCUUUAGCACUUGCUGUUUGAAAGUCAUUGCUUGCAACAGAUUGAGCGACUGUCAUUCUACAUUUCUGUUUGCAUUGCUUUGCUUGCAUUUUGAAU